rnacentral:other from 1 species
GUAUUCCUGGGAUGUGCGAUAAUCUUACCCAUUUUGAACCUACAUUUGUGACAACGGGAUUCCAAUAUCUGGAUGUGGAUGUCAGGCCUCCUUUGAGUGGAAGGCAGAAGCAUACGUGAGGUUGCCCACCUAGCAUCGCUAGGCGUCAAUAAGUAAGACCGGCAUUCCGGGAUUACA